UACGUAGGCAGCAAGCGUUGUUCGGAAUUACUGGGCGUAAAGAGUGUGUAGGCGGUGCUCCAAGUCUGGUGUGAAAAUCUCCCGGCUUAACUGGGAGGGUGCAUUAGAAACUGGAAUGCUAGAGGAUGGGAGAGGUAAGCGGAAUUCCUGGUGUAGCGGUGAAAUGCGUAGAUAUCAGGAGGAACACCUGUGGUGUAGACAGCUUACUGGACCAUUUCUGACGCUGAGACACGAAAGCGUGGGUAGCAAACAGG
rnacentral:rRNA from 1 species